AAUAAUGUAAUUUGCAUCGACGUAAUUCAGCCGAUGUAAUAAAAAUCCGAUGUAACAGCGAAAAUCAGAUGCAUAUUAGCAUCUAUUUGAUGUUAUAUUACAUCACCCUAAAAUUACACGAAAACAAGAUCACCAUAUCCUAUUACAUGGUACUUGUGUAAUAUGCACAUCUAAAAUAUAGAAAUAUUACACAGAAACCGCUGCAACCAAACAAUUCCGACGAACGUUGUCAUAUUACACAGAUUCAAAUGCUAUUUUGUAUCAAUGACUGGUGCGAUAAUAAGUCUCGCAACACUGUCCAUGUUGUUUCUGUCGACGAAGUUGUUGUGAAGUCCGCCAUUUUAACUCUCGUACCUCCGGUGGUAUCCCGUCGCGAAAACAUUAAUAAAAAUGAUUUUUGAAUAGUUUAGUGAUCACGAUUUGUCUACAAGACGGCCGCUGCAGUGGCCACAAGUGAUAUUGCUUUUACUCCUCCGGAUCUGGCCAAGGAAAUGCAGAAGAAGCCAAUCUUUCCAUCGGGUGUUAACCCCAUACGUACGCGCCCCAACGUCUGCCGUCACCUUCCCGGGGAAUCAGGAAUCCAGUUUUAAAGAAAUUUGUGUGCCAUUCCGGGACUUCGAGACCAUCUUGCCGAGAGAUUCCGGUGGCCCAUGAGAACAUCUUGUCGUAUGAUUUCGACGAACAACAUCCGCUGCAACAAGAGCUGGUUAGCGCUCAGGAUGACAGGGCAUGGCAAAAGAGGAGCACCGAACCACCGAAGGCAUACGGGUGAUCGUGAUUCUACAUGGGAUUUCGCGAUACGCCAGCUAGUUCGGUGUAUUGGAUCAACAACGAAAACUUGAACGGGCUUUGCAGAGCAUUUGUGAAUAAUUCCAUUGCAGUUCGUCGGAUUUAUCACCUGAAGCAUCCCAACGAUGGUUAUGGUUCAUCAGUUAGAUAAAUGCUAAGGUGAAGAUGAAUCGACGCCAAACCUCGAUUCACAAAUCAGGAAAACCAAACUUCCUAC